UCCCAUAUCUUGGAAAAGACCCCAGUCGUCCUUCUGGAGAGAGACUUUCUGAAAAUGUGAAACCAAGAAGGUGAAUAGGAGAGUGAGAGUGAGCAACCCCCCACAAACUUGGCCAACGUGUGGGGGGUUGCUCACAG